UCAGGGCGGUAACCAGCCUCCAGGCCCUGGUGGCGCCGAAACUGGGACCACACUGCCUUCUGCCUGCCAGAGAGGCUUGUCCCAGCCACUCCUUCCAGCUGGACAGACAAAAGCAAAGGGCAACCAGCGAGGCUAUCUUAAAGGAGUGACCACAGCUUCUUCAGCUGAUCACCCCAGGGAGCCAGACAAAUCCAUCUGCAAAAAUCCUGGAGCCAUGCAACAUCCAGGACUGGAAGAGAACCCACAGAACACCUAGUCGAACACCCUCAAUUUCGUCCGAAGAAGCUGGGAAUUGGCGAGACAGGAAAAGAAACAAAGGAAGCUGCCAAGCUGGGAUCUGCAGGAGUCAUCAAAGCCUUUCCAGGGAACUCCACCAAGGGCGUUCACAAUUUCAGGAAUGCAGGUCGACCACGACAGCGCCGUUCACAGUGUCUGACUCGCCGUUGGCAACAACGUUCAUGCGUCAUCUUGACGGAGGUUUUCCACACGUGUGCAUGUGUCUGAGUCCCUUGUCAGGUCUUACAAGGUAGACAUGACUGAGCAUUUACAUUUUUUUUAAGUGUAGUAUUUUGUUUUAAGUUACUUGCCCUCGAGUUUUUCUUUGGAGUUAUGUAGUUUUUCUAGUUCUAUGGACUUAAUUACAGGAGAAUAAAGGGAAGUUACAAAUGUCACACAAGGGGCUGCUGGGUGCAGGGGGGAGCCUCUGGCCCACGGUGGCUGACCAGAACGCUUGCUGAGCAGUUCCAGCGCAUUGCACUCCCGCGCCGAGCGGCGGGCUGCUUUCAGUUGACUCUGUGCAUCCUCGGCACAGACCCACCUCUGAAAUCAUCCCCGAUGGCUCAGACUGCGGUUUCCCUUGCUGCGGACACGGACUCCUCAACAGGGUUCUUGAAAACUCGACACAGUCAUACUGUCACCAGGGACAUUCCAGCACCCUUACUCUACUCUCAUUUUGACUUGAGGACAUUUUGAUACAGACAAAACCAUCAAGCUUUGAACUAUUUUU